rnacentral:rRNA from 1 species
GAGUACGUGAAACUGCUUAGAGGUUAAGCCCGAUGAACCUGAAUAUCCGUUAUGGAAAAUUCAUCAUUAAUAAUAUGGUAUUUUUUAUAUCAUAGAAAUAGUGUGCAAUUUUUCCAUAUAAGGACAUUGUAAUUUGUUAAUGUAAUAAAUAUUUAUCAAAAGAUCUUUUACUUUAGUUUAUUUAAAUUAGUUAUCUUUGGAUAGUUAACAUAAAAUAAUUGUAUUGGAUUUGAUAAAUCAUUGACAAAUUUAAUUAUAUAUUGUGCUGAAAUUCUACGGAAUUUUACAAUGAUAAAUAAAUCCAUUGAUUUAUUGGUUAAAUUGUAUGCACUUUUAUGAUUAACAAUGCGAUAGAUUCAGGAUACCUUCGGGACCCGUCUUGAAACACGGACCAAGGAGUCUAACAUAUGUGCAAGUCAUUGGGUAUUUUUAAUAAAACCCAAUGGCAUAAUUAACUUAACUGUUAAAAUGGGAUUAGUUUAUAUUUUAUUAUGAAAUAUUAAUUCAAUCCCGGGGCGUUCUAUACAGUUAUGCAUAAUGAUAUUUAUAUUAUUUAUGCCUCUAACUAGAGCGUACCUUGAGCAUAUAUGCUGUGACCCGAAAGAUG